UGUGAUUAAAAGCUGUAAAACUAAUUAACUCAUAUAAGAAAGCUAUAUCUCUAGAGCAACGGAUAAUAGUAAACUUGAGCAGAAUCAGCCAAAUUAUAUGAAAACAAAUUCCAGCAAACGAAAUGGUACAUCAUAAGUAGUUCAACUGGGACUAGCAUCUGCAAUGAAGACUUCAUUUCAUUUUUGAUAAAAUAUUCUGAGAGUUUGUACAGAUGAUCUUUGGUCAAAUAAACACUGCACACUUCAGUCAAUAAUUAACAUGGUAUACCUAAAUAUCCCCAUCCUCAUCACUGUUCCGAUUCUUGAGAGUAACUACAGCAACAAUCUGCAGUAAAGUUCUCAAUAUAUUCAACUAGCUCAAUUGUAAAUGCUUGGGGUGACGC
rnacentral:lncRNA from 1 species